UUAGACCUCAAAUCAGGCAGGAUUACC
rnacentral:rRNA from 1 species